rnacentral:rRNA from 1 species
GAUGAACGCUAGCGGCGGGCCUAAUACAUGCAAGUCGAACGGGAUUGGUAGCAAUACCAUGAGAGUGGCGAACGGGUGCGUAACACGUAUAUAAUCUGCCCAUUACUCGGGGAUAGCCUUGCGAAAGUGAGAUUAAUACCCGAUGGCACUGCGAAAGGGCAUCCUUUUGUAGUUAAAGUUUUUCGGUAAUGGAGGAAUAUGCGUCCGAUUAGCUAGUUGGUAGUGUAGCGGACUACCAAGGCGACGAUCGGUAGGGGUUCUGAGAGGAUGAUCCCCCACACUGGUACUGAGAUACGGACCAGACUCCUACGGGAGGCAGCAGUAGGGAACAUUGGGCAAUGGAGGGAACUCUGACCCAGCCACGCCGCGUGCAGGAUGAAGGCCCUCUGGGUUGUAAACUGCUUUUGUAUGGGAAGAAAUGCUUCUGCGGAAGUGACUGACGGUACCAUACGAAUAAGCAUCGGCUAACUCCGUGCCAGCAGCCGCGGUAAU